UACGGAGGGUGCAAGCGUUAUCCGGAUUCACUGGGUUUAAAGGGUGCGUAGGUGGGCAGGUAAGUCAGUGGUGAAAUCUCCGGGCUUAACCCGGAAACUGCCGUUGAUACUAUCUGUCUUGAAUAUAGAGGAGGUGAGCGGAAUAUGUCAUGUAGUGGUGAAAUGCUUAGAUAUGACAUAGAACAUCGAUUGCGAAGGCAGCUCGCUACACUAUUAUUGACACUGAGGCACGAAAUCGUGGGGAUCAAACAGG
rnacentral:rRNA from 1 species